rnacentral:rRNA from 1 species
UUCUGGUUGAUCCUGCCAGAGGUUACUGCUAUCGGUGUUCGCCUAAGCCAUGCGAGUCAUAUGUUCUUCGUGAACAUGGCGUACUGCUCAGUAACACGUGGAUAACCUGCCCUUGGGUCCGGCAUAACCCCGGGAAACUGGGGAUAAUUCCGGAUAACGCAUAUAUGCUGGAAUGCUUUAUGCGUCAAAUGGAUUCGUCUGCCCAAGGAUGGGUCUGCGGCCUAUCAGGUAGUAGUGGGUGUAAUGUACCUACUAGCCUACAACGGGUACGGGUUGUGAGAGCAAGAGCCCGGAGAUGGAUUCUGAGACAUGAAUCCAGGCCCUACGGGGCGCAGCAGGCGCGAAAACUUUACAAUGCGGGAAACCGUGAUAAGGGGACACCGAGUGCUAGCAUCAUAUGCUGGCUGUCCAGGUGUGUAAAAUACACUUGUUAGCAAGGGCCGGGCAAGACCGGUGCCAAGCCGCCGCGGUAACACCGGCGGCCCGAGUGGUGAUCGUGAUUAUUGGGUCUAAAGGGUCCGUAGCCGGUUUGGUCAGUCCUCCGGGAAAUCUGAUAGCUUAACUAUUAGGCUUUCGGGGGAUACUGCCAGACUUGGAACCGGGAGAGGUAAGAGGUACUACAGGGGUAGGAGUGAAAUCUUGUAAUCCCUGUGGGACCACCUGUGGCGAAGGCGUCUUACCAGAACGGGUUCGACGGUGAGGGACGAAAGCUGGGGGCACGAACCGGAUUAGAUACCCGGGUAGUCCCAGCCGUAAACGAUGCUCGCUAGGUGUCAGGCAUGGCGCGACCGUGUCUGGUGCCGCAGGGAAGCCGUGAAGCGAGCCACCUGGGAAGUACGGCCGCAAGGCUGAAACUUAAAGGAAUUGGCGGGGGAGCACAACAACGGGUGGAGCCUGCGGUUUAAUUGGACUCAACGCCGGACAACUCACCGGGGACGACAGCAAUAUGUAGGUCAGGCUGAAGACCUUACCUGAAUCGCUGAGAGGAGGUGCAUGGCCGUCGCCAGUUCGUACUGU